AGCUUGCUCCUGGAUUCAGCGGCGGACGGGUGAGUAAUGCCUAGGAAUCUGCCUGGUAGUGGGGGAUAACGUCCGGAAACGGGCGCUAAUACCGCAUACGUCCUACGGGAGAAAGCAGGGGACCUUCGGGCCUUGCGCUAUCAGAUGAGCCUAGGUCGGAUUAGCUUGUUGGUGAGGUAAUGGCUCACCAAGGCUGCGAUCCGUAGCUGGUCUGAGAGGAUGAUCAGUCACACUGGAACUGAGACACGGUCCAGACUCCUACGGGAGGCAGCAGUGGGGAAUAUUGGACAAUGGGCGAAAGCCUGAUCCAGCCAUGCCGCGUGUGUGAAGAAGGUCUUCGGAUUGUAAAGCACUUUAAGUUGGGAGGAAGGGUUGUAGGUUAAUACCCUGCAAUUUUGACGUUACCGACAGAAUAAGCACCGGCUAACUUCGUGCCAGCAGCCGCGGUAAUACGAAGGGUGCAAGCGUUAAUCGGAAUUACUGGGCGUAAAGCGCGCGUAGGUGGUUUGUCAAGUUGGAAGUGAAAGCCCCGGGCUCAACCUGGGAACUGCAUUCAAAACUGGCAAGCUAGAGUAUGGCAGAGGGUGGUGGAAUUUCCUGUGUAGCGGUGAAAUGCGUAGAUAUAGGAAGGAA
rnacentral:rRNA from 1 species